UACGUAGGGUCCGAGCGUUGUCCGGAAUCAUUGGGCGUAAAGAGCGUGUAGGCGGCUUGGUAGGUCACGUGUUAAAGCCUGCGGCUCAACCGCAGAAUCGCACGUGAAACCACCUGGCUAGAGUGCGGCAGAGGGGGAUGGAAUUCCGCGUGUAGCAGUAAAAUGCGUAGAUAUGCGGAGGAACACCGAUGGCGAAGGCAAUCCCCUGGGCCUGCACUGACGCUCAUGCACGAAAGCGUGGGGAGCAAACAGG
rnacentral:rRNA from 1 species